rnacentral:rRNA from 1 species
UACAGAGGGGGCGAGCGUUGUUCGGAAUUACUGGGCGUAAAGGGCGCGUAGGCGGCCCGCUAAGUCGAACGUGAAAUCCCCAGGCUCAACCUGGGAACUGCGUCCGAUACUGGCAGGCUUGAAUCCGGGAGAGGGAUGUGGAAUUCCAGGUGUAGCGGUGAAAUGCGUAGAUAUCUGGAGGAACACCAAUGGCGAAGGCAGCUCGCUGGGACGGUACUGACGCUGAGGCGCGAAAGCGUGGGGAGCAAACAGG